rnacentral:misc_RNA from 1 species
GUAUAUAUUAUAUAGGCACAACAUUCUAUUGACAUACAUUGGAGUAAAUGAAGAAACAUAGACCUGGAAGGUCUACAAAAAGUGCACAGGUGGAGAUAUAAAGAUGACAAGGUGUGCACAUGCUCCCUAGAGAACCAGCAACAACCCAUCAGGUUUAUUUCAAUAAUGAUCCUUCCGCAGGUUCACCUACGGAAA